UCCAGACUCCUACGGGAGGCAGCAGUGAGGAAUAUUGGUCAAUGGGCGAGAGCCUGAACCAGCCAAGUCGCGUGAAGGAUGACGGCCCUACGGGUUGUAAACUUCUUUUGUCAGGGAGCAAUUGGGUCCACGCGUGGGCUUAGCGAGAGUACCUGAAGAAAAAGCAUCGGCUAACUCCGUGCCAGCAGCCGCGGUAAUACGUAGGGGGCGAGCGUUAUCCGGAUUCAUUGGGCGUAAAGCGCGCGUAGGCGGCGCGUCAAGCGGGACCUCUAACCCCGGGGCUCAACCCCGGGCCGGGUCCCGGACUGGCGCGCUCGAGUGCGGUAGAGGCGAGUGGAAUUCCCGGUGUAGCGGUGGAAUGCGCAGAUAUCGGGAAGAACACCGAUGGCGAAGGCAGCUCGCUGGGCCGACACUGACGCUGAGGCGCGAAAGCUGGGGGAGCGAACAGGAUUAGAUACCCCAGUA
rnacentral:rRNA from 1 species